rnacentral:rRNA from 1 species
GACGAACGCUGGCGGCGUGCUUAACACAUGCAAGUCGAACGGAAAGGCCCUGCUUUUGUGGGGUGCUCGAGUGGCGAACGGGUGAGUAACACGUGAGUAACCUGCCCUUGACUUUGGGAUAACUUCAGGAAACUGGGGCUAAUACCGGAUAGGAGCUCCUGCUGCAUGGUGGGGGUUGGAAAGUUUCGGCGGUUGGGGAUGGACUCGCGGCUUAUCAGCUUGUUGGUGGGGUAGUGGCUUACCAAGGCUUUGACGGGUAGCCGGCCUGUGAGGGUGACCGGCCACAUUGGGACUGAGAUACGGCCCAGACUCCUACAGGAGGCAGCAGUGGGGAAUAUUGCACAAUGGGCGGAAGCCUGAUGCAGCAACGCCGCGUGCGGGAUGACGGCCUUCGGGUUGUAAACCGCUUUCGCCUGUGACGAAGCGUGAGUGACGGUAAUGGGUAAAGAAGCACCGGCUAACUACGUG